CUUUAUUUAAGAGAGCCAUCAAGGAUGGAAUUCUGUUCAUUAUAAACACAACAGGUCUGUUACCUCUUUUGACCACCAUGCAGCACCUCUAAUGAAUGAAGAUCCCUAGGGCUCCCUUUUUCAGAGAC